GUGAGGAAUAUUGGUCAAUGGGCGCAGGCCUGAACCAGCCAAGUAGCGUGAAGGAUGACUGCCCUAUGGGUUGUAAACUUCUUUUAUAUGGGAAUAAAGUUUUCCACGUGUGGAAUUUUGUAUGUACCAUAUGAAUAAGGAUCGGCUAACUCCGUGCCAGCAGCCGCGGUAAUACGGAGGAUCCGAGCGUUAUCCGGAUUUAUUGGGUUUAAAGGGAGCGUAGGUGGACAGUUAAGUCAGUUGUGAAAGUUUGCGGCUCAACCGUAAAAUUGCAGUUGAUACUGGCUGUCUUGAGUACAGUAGAGGUGGGCGGAAUUCGUGGUGUAGCGGUGAAAUGCUUAGAUAUCACGAAGAACUCCGAUUGCGAAGGCAGCUCACUGGACUGCAACUGACACUGAUGCUCGAAAGUGUGGGUAUCAAACAGG
rnacentral:rRNA from 2 species